GUCAGUGUGGGGUAGUGGUUUGAGCAUUGGACUACAACGCUAGAGAUCAGGGUUCAAUUCCCUGCUUGAGCA